rnacentral:lncRNA from 10 species
UUCAAAAUUUCCACUUCCAUUUUUCAGAAAAUUACACAGAGAGUUGCAAAUCAGAAAGACUCAUAAAUUGUGGGCAUACACACUGCUGUGAAUUAAUGUCCAGGAGUUGAUGGCUCGGGCCUGGAGGAAGAAGAGGGAAUGCAGCAGUGCCUUUAUUAAUGAGCAGAGGCCAGGAUACCGCUAAAAUCCACUUCUGUUGAAGGCGGCACUGCUGCCAUCUGGCGGACUUCGAAGGAGAGACCCAUAAGGGGAGAAGUCGGUUCAAUUCUGGCAUCUUGCCGCUACUUUCUAGGUACGGUGUUGGGGCAUUUAAAGAUAACAGGUCUCGUUCUUUGCCCUUAGGAAGUCGGGAAUUAAACAGGGGAAACAGACCUCACUCAGAAGAAUAUGGGAAGUUUGGCUCUAAUGGGAGGGCCAAGAGAUAGUGGAAUCCACUACCAUGAGGAGUGUCAGGAAAAGAUUUACAGAAGAGGCAACACCGGUUUGUGUUGGAAGCAAAGAUAAGAUUCAACAGGGAGAGAAGUAGGCCCUGCUCCAAACAACUUAAUUCCACUGGUUUGUUAAGGGUCUAAAGAAAGUUCCUACUCUUUUUAGAAUUAACCUAUUUUUUAUACUUCUCUUUUAUUAUCAGGCUCUCCCAAGUUUAUAAUUGUGCUAAUCCAUUGAUCAGAUGUUUUACUCAUCCUAAUCAGAAGAAAGGUCUCCCUAGCAAUAGAAGUUAUGGGUAUAGUACAACCAGCGUGGCAUGUCCCUCCCUCAAUACCCCACUAGGAUAUCUCUUAUGCUCUGCCCUGAAAAACAUGAUGAGUCUUAAUUUCAGUGAAUUUCCUUGGUCUGUGGUUUACCAUAGCAUAAACUUUUGAGGUUGAGCUUUACAAAUUCAAUUUUAAUCAGAUAUUAUUUUUCUCCUAAGCAAGCUCUAAAUACCACAAAUAAAGCUUUCACCAGUUUAGAAACCAUCUAUAACUCAUAAGUGUAAUUAGGUUUAAAAUGAUGCUGAGAUUUCACACUAUCCCUGUUCAACACUUAUGAUUUUAUGUUCUAUGCCUCUAUUCCCUAAAUACUGGUCAGCUGAAUAUUUCCCUAUUAGAAGCUGUGGUGUGUUAAGGACCCAGCAAGUUAAAAAGUAAUAACUUUUGAUUUGGCAACAGCACAAUAAAAUAUGGCUAACUGAAACCAUUGCCAGCAUGAAGCUUGACAUAUGAAAAAUGGUACUUUCAGGUUGCCUAUAGUAAUGUACAGAGGUGCUGUUCUGCCUGAAUUUCAUUUGAAUUUCCUGUGGUCGUCAAAAUGGGUUUCUUUCAAUCUUUGUGUCAGUGGAGGUUGAUUUGCGUGGGACUUGAGUGGUAAACCUGUCAAACACAACAAAGUUUGUUAUUCCAUUGGGCCCUGUCAUAAAAAUCAGUAUCUAAAGCUGCCAAACUUAGAGAAAUUGGCUGAUUCUGGGGCUAGGGCUUAUUGCAUAGAUUUGGAUAAUGCCUGCACAUAUGUUUAAAAAGCCUUUGUUUCAAAUAUGCUUGUGUUUAAAACUCCUUCAGCAAAGGAUUUGUAACUAAAUAAAUACAAUGGAAAAUAAAUUUAAACAAAGGUUUUAACUUUAUUUAUCCACUUAGUGUUUGAAAUACUGUAUCCUCCACUCAAAGCUACAUUUUCUUCCACCACAAUCUUUCUUUUUUUAAACCCAAGUGUUCUUAACAUUAAAUUUAGAAGAUGUGUAAAGAUGAUGUACAGGCCAAGGAAGAUGAGAAAGUCUAUAAAACCCAGUUAGAAAGUCUAAGGAGGAUGAGCUGAGUUGGAAGCAAUGCCAGCAGCCAGAUCAGCAUAGAAACACUAGAGAAAGAAGAUAUCGCUUUGAGAUGUAACAGACCAACAGUGAUGACAUCUUCCUGUAUUGAGCCACAAAGAGGCAAAAUAGUAUUCUGGACUUAGGUAGCUGACAUUUUUCUGCAGAGGUCUGACCUAUUCAGAUGAGGAUGAAUGAUAAUGCCAAAUAGCAGAGGCUAGGCCAAUGAAAGGCAGGAAACAGGUGUGUUACCUCAGGCUCAAUGUGGCCGGGAAUGGCUUAUGAAAAGAAUGGGAUUUAACUUGGUCUUCCCCCCUUCAAUUUUUACUUUUUAAGUUAUGAAAUGCUUUAAGUAUGGGAUUUGGAGGGUGCAUAGUGCUUAAGUAGAAUAGAUAUUACUUAUCUUAGACUACUGUUUAUUAAAUACUACAGACACUGUGCUCAAGUGCUUUAUAUGCAUGAUCUUACUCAUUCCUACAAUUUUUCUAUGACUUAAAUACCAGUUUUUCCUCCAAAAUUGCAGAUGAUACUACAUUAGAAAGGUUAAACAAAGUGCCCAAAGUCAUAUAGCUGCUGAAUGGUGGAGCCUAGACUCAAAGCCAAAUUUGUCUGAUUCCAAAACCCAAGCUCUUACUGAUAUGAUUUGACCUGUGUCCCCAUUCAAAUUUCACCUCGAAUUGUAAUAAUCCCCACAUGUCAAGGGCGGGGUCAGGUGUAGAUAAUUGAAUCACGGAGGUGGUUUUCCUCAUACUCUUCUCGUGGUGGUUGAAUACAUCUCAUGAGAUCCGAUGGUUUUAUAAAUGGAGUUCCCCUGGCACAGACUCUUUUGCCUGCCACCAUGUAAGAUAUCCCUUGCUUUUCCUUUGUCCUCUGCCAUGAUUGUGAGGCCUCCUGAGCCACGUGGAACUGUGAGUCCAUUAAACUUCUUUCCUUUAUAAAGGUAUCGGGUAUGCCUUUAUUAGCAGCACAAGAACAGACACACUUACCGUGCACUUAUUGCCUGUUAAUAUGGUUUAGCUCUGCCCACACCCGAAAUUUCAUUUUGAAUUGUAAUCCCCAUAAUCCCCACGUCAACCGAGAGACCAGGUGGAAGUAAUUGAGUCAUGGGCGUGGUUUCCCCCAUGCUGUUCUUGUGCCAGUGAGUGAGUUCUCACGAGAUCUUAUGGUUUUACAAGUGUUUGGUAGGUCCUCCUGUAUUCAUUCUCCCUCCUGCUGCCUUGUGAAGAAUGUGCCUUGCUUCCCCGUCGCCUUCUGCCAUGAUUGUAAGUUUCCUGAGGCUUCCCCAGCCAUAUGGAACUGUGAGUCAAUUAAACCUCUUUUCUUGUAAAUUACCCAGUCUCGGGCAGCUCUUUAUAGCAGUGUGAGAACAGACGAAUACACAGGUAUAUAGCUAAUAAUCAAUUACCUUCACUUUGUAAUAAGACAAUGAAGCCUGUAAGACAGUUGUAUAAGAUUAUUGUAUAAGACAAUGAAGCUCAGAUAUCUUCAUUCCUAACAUGAAGCAUAUGCUAGUUUGGAAAGGAAUUCACCAAGUGGUAAUUGUAAAAACUAUUUAACAGACACAGAAUAAUGUUUAUCAUAUAACGUUACAUGUAAAAAUCAUAUAAUAGUGUACAUUGGUGUCGACAUAUGGUAUGCAUGUAGAAAAAACAAUGUACACCUAUAGACAAAACUCUGAAAGAUGAAUUUAAAUUUAAAGGGAAAAUAGUUCUCUUGGAAUAGCAAGAGACAUAGUUAAUUUUCAUACGCACUUCUUCCUUUUCCUACACCUUGCUCUGUGGCCUUCCCCACUUCAUUGGGCUGGUUUCUCUAUUCCAAGUUUCACAAGGCCAAAAUCAAAGUGCCAACAACUGGGUUCUUAUUAGAAGGCUCUCUGGAAAGAACUUGCUGUGAAGCCUACUCAGGUUUUGGCAAAAUUGAGUUUCCUGAGUUGGGGUAGGACUGAGACUUCUGUUUCCUUGUUGGCUGUUAGCUGUGGGCUGCCAUUGGCACCUAGAGGCUUCUCUCUGGUCAUUGCUAUGUAGGUCCUGACAUCUCAGGGUCAACAAAAGUACAGGUGUUGAAUUAUGCUUGGAAUUUCUCUGACUUCCCCUUAUACUAAUGUUCUCAUUUACCUUCAGCUGGAGAAAGUUCUUUGCUUUAAGGACUCACAUGAUUACAUUGGUCUCACUUGGAAAAUCCAGGAUUCUCUGUUUUCAGGUUAACCUGUCUCUAGAGACCUUGGCACUUUGCUUAACUUCGGCUGCUGUUGGAGGAGACCGACUCCUCAUGAGCAUCUGGGAAGUUCCAUUGUCUCAACUGUCACAUAAAACCUGGAACUACCCAUGUACAAAUAUUGCUCAAUGAAAGAUGGUAGAAGCAGACAGCAAUCUAUCUAACAGCCUGUGGAUGAGGUCAAAGGAAAGAGGGAAGAAAGGAGAAAGGGGAGAAGGAAAGAACUUGAGGCUUUGAUGACCGUUGGAAUGCGUAAGUAACCAACCCUGAAACCUGAACUUUCUCUUCAUUUCUAUGAUGUGGAAUAAUAAAUUUUCUUAGUGUUUAAGUUUCCUUAGAAUUUCUUUUACUUGUGGCCAAAGAUACUGCCAAAUGUUU